ensembl:lncRNA
CAGGCUCGGAGCCAGGGAGACUGGAAAAUGAUUUUUGCUUUUUAACUCCUUGGAGGCUUGUGUGGAAAGUUUAAGAAAGCAAGUUUUUGUUUCUAGGGACAGAACUCAAAUAUUCAAGGAGGAGAAAAUGAAGUGGGAUAGUUCCCAGCCCACUUGCCUUGUUCUCGAGCUGCUCUUUCGUGGGAAAGGCGAAUUUUUUUGCUGAGCUGGCUGGGAAGUGUUGAGGUUGUGCUCCACAGAUGCAGGCUGGCUCUGGAUCCUAUUACUCUGCCAACAAACAACGUGGCUGUGGAUUUGGCUGCAUUGAACGCACUUUUUUGUUGUUUCUGAUGAAAGAAAGCAGCUAAGCAAGGAGAUGGAAGACAGCCACGGGCUGGCCCACAGUGGGUGCCACCCUCUGGAGCAAGCCUGAAGUGAGGGCCACCACUUUCUGUCCUGUUUAAAAGGAUCUCCCUGCUGUGCCCAUGUCGUUAUCAAAAGACAGCCUGCUCUCAAUAAAUGCUUCCUCCGGAGCCGCAGCUCUGAAGUACAGUACCUGGCCAUGGAUGCAGGCUGAGGAGGGAAGUGGACCGGCCAAGCCUGCAGCAAUGUGACAGGUGGAAGCUGACGGGUCCAAAGGAAUCUGGAGCCAACUUGAAGCAGCUCUCACUGGGCAUUAGG